AAAAAGGUAAUAUCCUGGUUAUAACCUGGUUAUUACCAAGUAAUAUCUCAGGUUAUAACCAGGUAAGGUCUCAGGAUAUAACCAGGUGAUAACCAGGUUAUAACCAGGUUAUGUCU